UACGGAGGAUGCGAGCGUUAUCCGGAUUUAUUGGGUUUAAAGGGUGCGUAGGCGGACUGUCAGGUCAGCGGUAAAAUUGAGAGGCUCAACCUCUUCCCGCCGUUGAAACUGGUGGUCUUGAGUGGAUGAGAAGUACGCGGAAUGCGUGGUGUAGCGGUGAAAUGCAUAGAUAUCACGCAGAACUCCGAUUGCGAAGGCAGCGUACCGGCAUCCAACUGACGCUGAGGCACGAAAGCGUGGGGAUCAAACAGG
rnacentral:rRNA from 1 species